rnacentral:lncRNA from 1 species
CAGCAUCUUUUCCCAUAAAGGGCAAUUCCUGAUGUCAUGAACAGGCCAAAUCAGCUGUGCUCCAUCACUGUCCCAGGGACUCAACAACUGCUGGGUCAUACCUGGGAGGGAUAACAACUGUGGGCUCAAAGCCCUGGCCUUCAGGAGGAGAUGGGGGUACACCUGAGGAUGCACUACUGGAGAAUAUCAAAGAAUAAGUGACCAAAACUAUAGAAGAGACAACAAAUCCAAGCAGCAAAGUCCUGAUGGCUGGGUGAAACAGGAGUGGGGAGUGUGCAGUGAGGGCAUCCUGCUGGAGCUGUUCUGGUGGCCACAGCCACACCAGACGAGGUCCCCAGUGCCAGCAAACACCAGCCUGGGGUGGGCAGACAGAGUUAUCCUUGCCACAGCAGCUGUCCACUCAGAGAUACCUGGAAAGUGCUGCUGCAGGAAGAGGAGGUACAGCUUCUGCUGGCUGCGGGAACAACUCACUCCUGGUGGCACUGAGGUGACAGCCCCCACGCCCACCCAGCCUCCCAGACAACAAGGGACAAGGUGCACCUCUCACAGGAAAGAAAUUUCCUGUAAUAAAUACAGACAGGAAAAAGAUGAUGAGAAUAGAGCAGUUUUCUGAUUCUAAUUAGUGCUUCACACUGAGAAUAUCGUGAGCAUAAAGCAUCUUGCAGAAUAAAAAAUUAUCAGGACAACA